rnacentral:lncRNA from 1 species
CCCAUGACCAAUCCCUCAUGCAUAAACACUAAUUUCAUAUCAUAAAUUAAAAUUUUUAGAUCUAAAUUUUUUAUAUGAAGUGUAAAUUUUGAUCUCGAAAUAAUUUCAGAUCAUGAAUACAAAUAUGUAUCACAUACAUAAACAAGUUAAGGUUAUAGAAAUAAUUUCAGCCCUAAACAUGCUUUCAUAUAUCAUAUAUAUGAAUUAAAACAUAUCUCGAAACUCUUUUUAGAUCUAAAUAAUAAAAUAU